GCUGAGGUACGAAAGCGUGGGUAGCAAACAGGAUUAGAUACCCUGGUAGUCCACGCCGUAAACGAUGUCGACUAGCCGUUGGGGUCCUCGAGACCUUUGUGGCGCAGUUAACGCACUAAGUCGACCGCCUGGGGAGUACGGCCGCAAGGUUAAAACUCAAAUGAAUUGACGGGGGCCCGCACAAGCGGUGGAGCAUGUGGUUUAAUUCGAUGCAACGCGAAGAACCUUACCUACCCUUGACAUCGUGCGAACUUUCCAGAGAUGGAUUGGUGCCUUCGGGAGCGCACAGACAGGUGCUGCAUGGCUGUCGUCAGCUCGUGUUGUGAAAUGUUGGGUUAAGUCCCGUAACGAGCGCAACCCUUGUCCCUAUUUGCCAGCGAUUCGGUCGGGAACUCUAGGGAGACUGCCGGUGACAAACCGGAGGAAGGUGGGGACGACGUCAAGUCAUCAUGGCCCUUACGGGUAGGGCUACACACGUGCUACAAUGGCCGGUACAAUGGGUUGCAAAGCAGUCGACGUGGAGACUAGAUCUCAUAAAGCUUGUCUCAGUCCGGAUCGGCGUCUGCAGCGUCGGACUGGGUGAAGUCGGAAUCGCAUAGUAAUCGUGCAUCGGUAGUGGCACGGUGAUAUACGUUCCCGAGGCAACUUAAGCUACAUACCGCCCGUCACGCCCUAGGGAGUGGACUGCACCAGCAGUGGUUAGCCUAACUUCGGACCUUGCGCUAUCGGAUGAGCUUAUGUCGGAUUAGCUGGUUGGUGAGGUAACGGCUCACCAAGGCGACGAUCCGUAGCUGGUCUGAGAGGAUGAUCAGCCACAUCGGGACUGAGACACGGCCCGAACUCCUACGGGAGGCAGCAGUGGGGAAUAUUGGACAAUGGGGGCAACCCUGAUCCAGCCAUGCCGCGUGUGUGAAGAAGGCCCUCGGGUUGUAAAGCACUUUCAGCGAGGAAGAAUGCUUGUCGGUUAAUACCCGGCAAGGGAGACAUCACUCGCAGAAGAAGCACCGGCUAACUCCGUGCCAGCAGCCGCGGUAAUACGGAGGGUGCGAGCGUUAAUCGGAAUUACUGGGCGUAAAGCGUGCGUAGGCGGCUUGAUAAGCCGGUUGUGAAAGCCCCGGGCUCAACCUGGGAACGGCAUCCGGAACUGUCAGGCUAGAGUGCAGGAGAGGAAGGUAGAAUUCCCGGUGUAGCGGUGAAAUGCGUAGAGAUCGGGAGGAAUACCAGUGGCGAAGGCGGCCUUCUGGACUGACACUGACGCUGAGGUAC
rnacentral:rRNA from 1 species